GGGGUCCCUGCGGGCCACGCUACAGCCAGGACGGGGCGGACAGCGACGGCGCCACGCUGGGCCUGGGCCUGGACCCCAGCAGCGCGGUUGAAACACUUUAGAUUUACAUGCAAGUAGGGAAAGCGGCCCACACUGCAGCAGUGAAGGGACACAGCAGCCUCCUGACUACAGUGGAACUGUUUUCCAUACUGGGGAUGGAACCCAGGAACUUCAAGGCACCGCAGGCUUCACUCCACCCUCGGCCCUCAGUUGGGGUCAGUGCUGCUGGUGAGAAUGGGAGGACAGGAAACACACGUGGACAGCCGGAAAGCCGCAGGAAGCGCCCGUCUGUGUACCUCAAGCCGUUUCCAGUCGUGUUCUACUUUCCCGCCACUUGUUUCCAUAGCAAACAGGCUUCUCACUGGCUUGCGGGUAAAGUUCAUUCUCUCACAAUAAAUCUCUCCAGGCCAGAUGAGGUGGUGUACG